GCAGCAACCUCGAGCUGAACAACGACGGCACGGCGAGCGAUCGGCCGUCGGGCGUGCCGCGCAACUCGCUGACCCUGCCCGCGCGCAAGAACGUCGACGCACGCUAUUCGCGCCGCUUCCGCAUCCAGGGCAACAUGGCGGCGGAAGUGAUCGCCAAGGUCAAGAACCUGUUCAACACCGUCCAGACCUCGUCGGUGAACGCCACGGUGCCGACCAACGCGCAGGGCGUGCCGCUCGGGACCUUGCCGGCGUCGGGCAGCGACCUGCAGCCGACCGGCGGCUACGAGCAGCGUCAGUUCCAGCUCGGAUUCAAGUUCACGUUCUAGGCAUGCGCCGCACGCCUCUCUUCCUCGUCAUCGUGUGGGUCGCCGCCGCGGCGGCCCACUCGACGGCGCAACACCAGCUUCAGCCGGUCGCCGCGCUGCGCGGCGCGCCGGCGCUCGAAUUACAGCUGCGGAAGCUCGACACCGUCGGCAACUUCAUGAUGACGACGGCGCAUCCGGAUGACGAGAACAACGCGAUGCUUGCGUACUUCUCGCACGGCAAGGGCUAUCGCACGUCGCUCGUCACAGCCACCCACGGCGAGGGCGGGCAGAACGAGAUCGGGCCGGAGCUGUUCGUGCCGCUGGCGGUGCUGCGCACCGAGGAGCUGCUCGCGGCGCAUCGCUUCGACGGCGCCGAGCAGUUCUUCACGCGCGCGAUCGACUUCGGCUACUCGUUCAGCAUCGAGGAAACCUACGAGAAGUGGGGACACCAGGAAAUCCUCGGCGACUAUGUGCGGAUGAUCCGCACGAUCCGGCCGGACGUGAUCGUCGGCUUCGUGUUCGACGGCGACGGCGGCGGCCAGCAUCACCAGGCCUCGUCCCGACUCACGCUCGAAGCGUUUCGCGCCGCUGCGGAUCCGG
rnacentral:misc_RNA from 1 species